AGUGAACGCUGGCGGUAGGCCUAACACAUGCAAGUCGAACGGCAGCACAGUAAGAGCUUGCUCUUACGGGUGGCGAGUGGCGGACGGGUGAGGAAUACAUCGGAAUCUACUUUUUCGUGGGGGAUAACGUGGGAAAACUUACGCUAAUACCGCAUACGACCUACGGGUGAAAGCAGGGGUUCUUCGGACCUUGCCCGAUUGAUUGAGCCGAUGUCGGAUUAGCUAGUUGGCGGGGUAAAGGCCCACCAAGGCGACGAUCCGUAGCUGGUCUGAGAGGAUGAUCAGCCACACUGGAACUGAGACACGGUCCAGACUCCUACGGGAGGCAGCAGUGGGGAAUAUUGGACAAUGGGCGCAAGCCUGAUCCAGCCAUACCGCGUGGGUGAAGAAGGCCUUCGGGUUGUAAAGCCCUUUUGUUGGGAAAGAAAAGCAGCAGGUUAAUACCCCGCUGUUCUGACGGUACCCAAAGAAUAAGCACCGGCUAACUUCGUG
rnacentral:rRNA from 1 species